AGUGUGGUUGCCGGAGUAAAGGUCCCUGGUCGAGCAUUGCUCUCGGGGCGCCGGCUUAUUUGGAUAUUUAAGUGACCAGACUGGAGGUAAGGUCCCUGGUCGAGCUUUGCUCUCGGGGCGCCAGUCUUAUUGGAUUAAGAGAGCCGAAUGGCUACUAGAUUUCUUAUUUGGAUAUUUAAGUGACCAGACUGGAGGUAAGGUCCCUGGUCGAGCUUUGCUCUCGGGGCGCCAGUCUUAUUGGAUAAGAGAGCCAAAAGGCUAAGGCUGAGAGUUAAGUGACCGGACUGGAG
rnacentral:lncRNA from 1 species